rnacentral:rRNA from 1 species
UACGUAGGGUGCAAGCGUUUGUCCGGAAUUAUUGGGCGUAAAGAGCUUGUAGGCGGUUUGUCGCGUCUGCUGUGAAAUUUCGGGGGCUCAACCCCGAACUUGCAGUGGGUACGGGCAGACUAGAGUGUGGUAGGGGGAGACUGGAAUUCCUGGUGUAGCGGUGAAAUGCGCAGAUAUCAGGAGGAACACCAAUGGCGAAGGCAGCUCGCUGGGACGGUACUGACGCUGAGACGCGAAAGCGUGGGGAGCAAACAGG